rnacentral:rRNA from 1 species
AGCGAACGCUGGCGGCAGGCCUAACACAUGCAAGUCGAGCGCUGUAGCAAUACGGAGCGGCAGACGGGAGAGUAACACGUGGGAACGUACCCUUUGGUUCGGAACAACCCAGGGAAACUUGGGUUAAUACCGAAUAAGCCCUCACGGGGAAAGAUUUAUCGCCGAAGGAUCGGCCCGCGUCUGAUUAGCUAGUUGGUGGGGCAAUGGCCCACCAAGGCGACGAUCAGUAGCUGGUCUGAGAGGAUGAUCAGCCUCACUGGGACUGAGACACGGCCCAGACUCCUACGGGAGGCAGCAGUGGGGAAUAUUGGACAAUGGGCGCAAGCCUGAUCCAGCCAUGCCGCGUGGGUGAUGAAGGCCCUAGGGUUGUAAAGCCCUUUCGGCGGGGAAGAUAAUGACGGUACCCGCAGAAGAAGCCCCGGCUAACUUCGUGCCAGCCGCCGCCGUAA